rnacentral:tRNA from 2 species
UAAAAUAUAGCUUAAAUAAAGCAUUUUGCUUACACCAAAAAAAUAUUUGUUAACCCAAAUUAUUUUGA